UCGACACCCUGCUCCUCUUUAGCCUCUGUCUUCUCAACGUUACGCUUACAGCAGCCAGCUGCCAUUUUUUCUUUUCCAUUGCUUCCUCAGCUCCUGCCUCCACCGGCCACCGUCGUCCGGCUAUUCUCCUCCGUGGCUCCGUCCGUUCACCAUUAGAGAUUUAUAGCCUCAGGUAGUCAGAUUUUGAUGAAUUUUAUUGGCAAUGUGAGUGUGUGACCGUGCAGCUUAUUCGCCCUACUCGAAGGAAAUUAUGGCUCCC